rnacentral:tRNA from 1 species
GCCCGGAUGGCGAAACAGGUAGACGCAGGGGACUCAAAAUCCCCCCGCCGCAAGGCGUGCCGGUUCGGCUCCGGCUCCGGCUCCGGGCACCA